UGGAGGCGCUCAUGGCUGCCUGGUCACCAGCUCCUGCUGCGCUGCCCUUUUUCCUUAUUCAGGCCUUUGUUGUAUUUUGUUAAGGUUUUUACUAAACCUUUUAAAAUUUUUAAAAGCGAGUGUCUCUCACACCUUCCACGCUGAUCCAGAAAAUGAAAUGAGCUGUCCCUGCAACCAGGCUUUGAUGUGAACAAAAUAAGACUUAAACAUACCUGGAGCUGUGUGGUAGCCAGCCCUGUUUCCUCCUGUCCCAGCUUGCCAAAUGGAGUUUCAGAAUUUACCUUGGACUUGUUCUUUUAUUGCAUCUUGUCAGAGGAUCACUGGAUGGCCACCAGAGCAUCUGCAGCCCAGCUCUGCCUGGAUGCUGUGGCACUGGCCUGCCAGAUUCAAAGUCUAGAACAUCAGGUUAUGACUCUUCUAGGAAGACUGAAAUGUUGAUUCAAAGUCAGUCUUAUUAUUCUGGAGCAAAAUGGAAACUGUGGAGACCAAUGCUCAGCCAACAGUGACUCCUCUACAGGGACAAUUAAAAAUGUGCUGAAUAUUUGAGCCGAAUGAUGGCCUCACUUCUUGGGUGAUGAUUGCUUAAUCUCGUCCUUAGGGGAGGAACUUUCAUGCUGUUCACAAACAUCUGAAUCCCUUCCUGCAGUAGAAUCCAUUUACCAUUGUGCAAAUAUUCUGUAUUAAUUCUAGACCACACACAGAUCUGAGUGGCAUCAGAGUAAGACUGCAGUAACCCCAAUUAAUUUCAGGAGGCUUUUUCCAGGUUUAUCCUACUCAGAUAAAAAUGUGUGUAUUUAUCUUUGAAUUGCAUGGCACAGACUAUUGUAAUGAGGUGCAUUGAGUUCCAUUCUCAGCAUAAAUUAAUUUGGGGUAGUCAAAUGAAAAAUGUUUCACACCAGAUUGGCAAGCUAGAUGGUCCUUUAUCACUUCAGUUAAGGAAAAUAUGAAUGUUAAUGAAUCUAUUUUAUUCUAUUACAACUUCUGAAAAUAAA